GCAGGCAUCUCAUGUCUAGCCUGCCGCGUGUACCUCUCCCCUCUUGCGGUCGUCACCUAUUAGGCGAGCCUAGCGGAGACCAGGUUUAGGUUUGGGGAGGAGGGAAAAUCGUAGCGGCCGUCGCUGCUGCCGGUACGAGAGGCGGCGGCGGAGCCGGUAAGGGUCCGAGGCGACCCGGCGGCGCGGCGGCCCCGUGCGGAGCGGCUCGUGGGCCACCAGAGACGACGCCGCCGCGGGCGAGAGGAGGAGGGGCUUGCGUCGCGGGUGGCACCCCGGCCCCGGGGACCUCGGCGGCCUGGAAGGGGCGGAGCGGUUGAGGCGGGCGUAUAGAGAGAGCGGCGUUCUCCGACUCCUCAAGCGCGGGUUCUAAGUCGUCCACCACCUGACCAAACCCGUUGAAGUUCGCCAACUAGAACUCAGGUAACUCGGAAGUGAAUCUCGACUAUGACGUCGACCAUCAAGAAAUUCUCUUCUAUUCCGCCUUGGUAAACGAUUGUCUCUACGGUAUUAUCUCCGGGAAGGCUCAAUACUACUAGGUAUGUAGUUUCACGGUUUACGCGACUGGUUUCUUACUGUACACCCAGACAUUUAGUUUCAAUACUAUAACAAUUGUAAGAUAAAGUAAUAUGUUACUCCGUACCACUUAGUUGACUCGAACGUUUCGUAGCUCGCUCGUUAGUUGUUCGGACUCAAUUCAAACUGUAGGAGCCGAUCUUGUCAUGCUGAGUUGUUAAACUCGCUACCUAGACGUCACGGACGUUGUCUUCUAGGUAGGAACGCACGGUAGUACGAAAGCCUGGUUUAUGUACAGUAAAAGAAUUAUACGAAAAUAAAUACAAAGACCUUACACCCCCGAAGAUCGCGAUAGUGAUACGGAGGGUUUGCCGCUAUCCAAAGUACACUACGAUAGUGGACCAUUAAACAGAAGUCAAACAAUUAGGACAUUCAAAAGACCCAAUCCGACUUGGAGCCCUGAAUAGCACGAAAGACAAACUCAAAAGACGUCCAAAAUCGAAAAAUUAGGACAUUUUAUAAGACCCAAUCCACCUUAAGAUACAAAGUUAAAACGUAACCGGUCUAGUACAAGGGU
rnacentral:rRNA from 1 species